rnacentral:tRNA from 1 species
GCGGCAGCGGCGAAAGCCGAAGUGGUACGAAUCCUGGGGUCGGAGGUUCGAAUCCUCUCGUGGACGCCA